AUGAAGCUGUUCUCCGACAGAGAUUUAGAAACCUGUGGGGGAAGUUUUGGUUUGGGGCUCAGGGGGGGGCGCGGUGCUUUCAGUGCAUUCAGCGGUUUCUGGGUGCUUUGCUGGACCACCCCCAUGUCCGAUGUGGCAGGAGGCAGCAGGGAGGUGUCAGGCAGGGGAUGGGCAGCCUCCGGCCAGGGCUGUGCCACCUGCCUUCUGUUUGCCAAGUCCUGCUCAGUCACAUGGGCCACGUGCAGGCGGGUGGUGGUUUUCACCACGGCGUGGAGGCUGUUCCCCCUGGCCAGUGCCACACUCUCUGACAGGAUAGGCGUGCUGCUGCCCGACGGCCUGCCUGGGGCAAGUGAGCCCAGGGCAGCAAACCCUCGUUCAAGUGCCAUCUCUGUGCCCUGCUGCAGGCCACCGAGCUCACCCGCAGAUGCCGACUUGGGCAGUGAGACCUUUGAGUCCAUUCCGUUCAGCAGCAUCACUCCAUGCUGCGUCUCACCUGUGUCCUCAGGGAUGUCCCUGUGCAGUGCUGUGGCCUCCUCCCCAUGCAGGGAGGAUGUUUGUUGUUCCUCAGGUGGCCCACAAGCACUAGGAUCCGGUGUGUGGUCUGUGCUGGGAGGCCACUCAAGCGGCUGGGCCUCUCCAGCUCGUAUGUCCACAGGAGUGUUCGAUGCAGGGUGGAAGGAGCCCACAGAGCCACACGGGGAGGGUGUGGGGCUGGGUGGCUUGUGGUGUGGCUCACGAUGCUCCUCAUGCUCGACCCCAGGUCCAGCGUGCAGGGUGGACUCCCCACUCCCCACAGCAUCCUCCAGGCUGGCAGGGGAGGCCUGUAUCUCACUUGGCUUUGGAGACUGCUGCCGUGCCACAUCCUCUGUCGGCUGCCCCUCGCUCUGGGGGGGAUGCGGAUGGCUGUCAGCUGCUUCAUGGGCCUGGCUGCCUGGCACAUCGGGAGUCCUGACGGCCGUUCCUUGGUGGCUGGGGGGCUGUGUGGUGCCCCUGUCUGAGGGGUGCUCACCCAGCAGCCCAUUCUGGCCAUUGGCUGCUGCGUUGGCCUUCAUGGCCAGAGGGUUGAGGGAGAGCUCCAGGCCCAGGGGUCUGCGAGGGAACUCAUCAGGCUUGGCUGCACCAGAGAGUAAGCAGGGGUAG
ensembl:lncRNA